AUGAGCCUGCCUGGGCGGGCCCACGCCGGUGCACUGCCUCAGCUCCUCUGUGCUUCGGCCUACCCAUCCCUUGGCUUGGGAUCGUGCCACGGGAGAGGCCAGAGAAACCAGCCUCGACCCAAACCCUGGGCCAACCCCCAAGCAGAAAACAGCCCGGCUGAGAUGCCCCCUGGGAAGUGCCCUCACCACUUGGUCGGCCACUUUGUUGUUUGUUUUUUUUUUAAAUUCAGAUAAGAAGAACGGGUGAAAAAUAUCUUUUGUAAUAAGAAAACGAGUUUCCUCUGUUCCAAGCGUUGGCUUUGCAACUUGCAAACACCUUGAAGACAGCCAGACCCCCCCCAUCCUGAUCCCCUCUCCGUGCCCACAAGCCGGGCUCUAUAAAGGCAACCCUUCCAGACCCAGGUCCCUGUUGUAAAUACAGACCUGGCUGUGCGGAGAGGUAAUGAAGGAAGGAAAAAAAAAGGGGCAAAGAAAUAGUCCUCGCACCAGAAGAAGCUGGACUUGCCAGCAGAGUACUGUAAAUAGGGACCAGCGCAUGCGUCCAGCAGCUGGGCAAAAGCUUCUGGGGGCAGAGCUGCUCAGAUUUUAUUGUCUUGUGUAAAUAGAGAUAUUUUUUUGGGAAAAAAAAAAAAAAAAAAAAAGAGCCUUAGUAUCUUGAAGAUUGCGUUUCUCAAUCAGCUCAGCUGGGGAUGGAUGGACACACGGGAAACCUCAACCUCGGCCUGGUGGAAGCUGGCGUUGGGCCGCAGCUGGUGGUGGGUGCAGGAGGCACCUGAAAGACAAUAGACACGUCCAGCAAGAGGACUCGGCAGAUGUUUCCUGUUUGUUCCUUGUAAACAGGGUGGACUCACUGGGCCCGUGGUCUCCACUUGGUGUAAAUAGUCACUUACAGCCCACAGAGGACUUGGGCUGCUUGGGGCAGGCGUGUGUGGGGGGUGAGAUGGGCAGAAAACAUGAGAGGGAUGCAAACCCCAUCAGUGUGGGUCCUCCCAGGUUUCUAGCUUUUUUUUGGGGGGGGAAUAAGCAAAGAAAGCCUGAGGACUUGUUAAUGGUGUUGGACCAACUGUUGAGCUGGGUAAAUGGAGGCACACAUAGACACCCCUGUUCAUCUGUGGUUGAGUCACCGUCCCUGGAUGUGUUUAAGGGACGUUUAGAUGGGGUACUGAGGGAUAUGGUGUAGGGGAGGACUUUGUAGAGUAGGGUUGAUGGUUGGACUCGAUGAUCCCAAGGGUCUCUUCCAACCUCAAUGAUUCUAUGAUUCUAUCUCAGCCUCCACAUGCAGUUCUCCUUGGCAUGUUUGCAAAUGUUUGUGCAAGACCGUGCCCUACGUGGGUGGGUGGCUGCCAGCCACGUCUGUGAGAGAAGAAGAGAGGGUAUGGAAGUGUAUGUAUGUUGUGCUCACCUUUCUAUGCCUAAACACCUCUUGAGAAGUCGUAAGUAAGAUGCUGCUGGUCAUUAGGCUGAGCACGGAGUGGUACCCGUGUGAGGGACCACGCAGGUGAGCAAAAACAAAGAAAUCUCUGCUCCUCACUGAAUUGUCACUGGCCGUCCCUGCUGUGACACAACGGGGGCCACCUGCAAACACGUGGACAUGGCUUCUGAUGGAAGCAGGAGAGGAGCUCUCUGAGGUGUCAGCUUCACCCCUUCACAACUCAAAGCUUGCUCGUUUACGCUGAGCCCGACUGUGGGGAUUCGUGCAGCGGAGGGAAAUUAGAAAAGAAAUUGGGAUAAGAAAUUGAAAUUAAAACAAAACAAAACAAAACAAAACAGACAAGAAAAAAGAAGAAAUUUUUGAUCGUGACCCAAAAUAACUUUUUCUAGACAUCAGAGUCUCUCUUCGGCCUGGCAUUUUGCAAGGAAGCAGGGCCACCAAGGUGGAAGAGUCCCCUCCACAUUAAAAAGCCAGAUAGAUCCCAAGGGUCUCUUCCAACCUCAAUGAUUCUAUGAUUCUGUGAUUCUAUAGCAUAAACCAACUAUUGUACAUAUUUGGGGGCCAAGCCCCUAUAGCUAUGCAAGGAAAGGCCAGUGGGCAAUCAAUCAACAGAGGUUGGAAGCUGCCUCAAAGCACUGAGAGGUUUGGGCAUCCAGAGUGGUAAUUGGCUUGCAGUGGGGUCAAGGUGAGCUGCAGGAAUGGUCUUUUCCUCUUGGGUACUUGAAUACCUCCUCUGUCAUCCAGUUCCGUGGGGCUGCUGUUGCCAUUAACACCUAAAAACUGCCAGUGCCAAGCGAUUUAUUGAUUUGUCAAACUGGGGCUCAGGUGCUUUAGUCUGCCACAUAUGGACAGUUCUUCCUUUGGGCAAUUCUCCCAGCCAGGUCCCCAGGCAAGGUGGACAUCAUCUUGGAGAGACCCAGGUUUCCUCCCCAUUAAAGGCUGUCAGCCUUUUUUUCCCAGGGAAAAAAAAAAAAAAAAAAAAAGAAAAAUAUGAACAGCUCACCCCAUCUUUGUGCCAGAAACAUUCUUAUAAUCAGACAGUAUACCAAACAAAUAAAUGCCUCCAAAAAGUUUGAAAGCUCA
rnacentral:lncRNA from 1 species